UACGAGUGCCUCGAGCGUUAUCCGGAAUCAUUGGGCGUAAAGGGUGCGUAGGCGGCGAUGUUAGUCUCGCGUAAAAUCUCUGGGCUCAACCCAGAGUCUGCGUGGGAAACGGCAUUGCUUGAGGACGGGAGAGGUCUCUGGAACUCAUGGUGUAGCGGUGAAAUGCGUUGAUAUCAUGGGGACCCCCAAAAGCGAAGGCAAGAGACUGGCCCGCUCCUGACGCUGACGCACGAAAGCGUGGGUCGCGAAUGGG
rnacentral:rRNA from 1 species